rnacentral:rRNA from 1 species
GGGAACUGAAACAUCUAAGUACCCAUAGGAAAAGAAAGAAAACUCGACUCCCUGAGUAGCGGCGAGCGAAAAGGGACAAGCCUAAACCGGGUGCUACGGCACCCGGGGUUGUGGGAUCAGUGUUAGGGUUACAAAACAGGUGGUUAGGAGAACUGGAUCGGAAAGCCAGGCCAAAGAGGGUGAUAGUCCCGUAUCCGAAAAUCAACCUGUCCCGUUAUGCACUGACUCCCGAGUACGUCCGGGCACGUGAAACCUGGACCGAAUCUGCGGGGCCCAUCCCGUAAGGCUAAGCAUUAUCUAGCGACCGAUAGUGAAUCAAGUAGCGCGAGCGAAAGAUGAAAA